rnacentral:rRNA from 1 species
GAUGAACGCUGGCGGCGUGCCUAAUACAUGCAAGUCGAGCGAACGGACGAGAAGCUUGCUUCUCCGAUGUUAGCGGCGGACGGGUGAGUAACACGUGGAUAACCUACCUAUCAGACUGGGAUAACUUCGGGAAACCGGAGCUAAUACCGGAUAAUAUUUUGAACCGCAUGGUUCAAAAGUGAAAGACGGUCUUGCUGUCACUUAUAGAUGGAUCCGCGCUGCAUUAGCUAGUUGGUAAGGUAACGGCUUACCAAGGCAACGAUGCAUAGCCGACCUGAACGAGUGAUCGGCCACACGGGAACUGAGACACGGUCCAGACUCCUACGGGAGGCAGCAGUAGGGAAUCUUACGCGAGGGGCGAAAGCCUGACGGAGCAACGCCGCGUGAUGGAUGAAGGUCUUCUGAUCGUAAAACUCUGUUAUUAUGGAAGAACAUAUGUGUAAGUAACUGUGCACAUCUUGACGGUACCUAAUCAGAAAGCCACGGCUAACUACGUG